UACUAAAAUUAAUAACUAGAGAAACAUCAUAAAGUUAUUAUAAUCAUGAUGGAAAGAUUAUGAGAGAGGAAGGACAUGACUGACUAGAUAACAAUAACCAGCAGUCUGAGUGGACCAAAUCCAAAUGACUAGACCCAUAGACCAUGAAAUAAGAAUUAAAUUGGAUUAAAGGUGAUAUGAUAGGAAUUGUUAAUGAUGGGUGUUCUACAAAAGCCAAGGUGG
rnacentral:lncRNA from 1 species